rnacentral:lncRNA from 1 species
CAGAUUAAAUGCAAUCCCCAUCAAAAUACCAAUCCAAUUCUUCAAAGAGUUAGACAGAACAAUUUGCAAAUUCAUCUGGAAUAACAAAAAACCCAGGAUAGCUAAAGCUAUCCUCAACAAUAAAAGGACUUCAGGGGGAAUCACUAUCCCUGAACUCAAGCAGUAUUACAGAGCAAUAGUGAUAAAAACUGCAUGGUAUUGGUACAGAGACAGACAGAUAGACCAAUGGAAUAGAAUUGAAGACCCAGAAAUGAACCCACACACCUAUGGGCACUUGAUUUUUGACAAAGGAGCCAAAACCAUCCAAUGGAAAAAAGAUAGCAUUUUCCGCAAAUGGUGCUGGUUCAACUGGAGGUCAACAUGUAGAAGAAUGCAGAUCGAUCCAUGCUUAUCACCCUAUACAAAGCUUAAGUCCAAGUGGAUCAAGGACUUCCACAUCAAACCAGAU